rnacentral:tRNA from 2 species
GGUGAUAUAGCCAAGUGGUAAGGCAUAGGUCUGCAAAACCUUGAGCGCCGGUUCGAAUCCGGCUAUCACCU